CUUGCUGUUUCUUUGAUAGCUCAUUCUCAGGGAAGCCAGCUGCCAUGUUGUGAGAACACUCAAAGAGCCCUACGAGGAGGCCCAUGCUGCAAGGGACAGGGGCCUCCUGUCCACAACCAUGUGAGCACACCAUCUUGGAAGCAGAUCCAUCAGCCUUCGACAGCCUUCAGAUGACUGCAGCCCUGCUGAUGUCCUAACUACAAAAUCUCAAGACACCCUGAGUCAGAAUCCCCCAGGCACCUAACACACUGUCCAGCACACAGCUUCACCUCCUCCAGGAAGCUUUCCUUGACUUCCCCUGGCUGGUUAUACCCCUCUUCUGUGAUCCGAGACGCCGUGUACACGGCUUCGUCAGAUCUUCCAAGCCUGUACUUGUAUCAAGUGAGAUCAUCAGAAAGUUCUGUACCAUGUGAAGACCUCUCUGGAGUCAGCGUUUGAAUAUUUUUCUGUACUACGAUGUCCAACAGUGGUCUGACAAA